AUGACCGAAACGAAAGGAAUCGAACAAGUCCGCCAGUGUUUUGAGACAGGCGUUGUUGCCCAUCUGUCACAUAUGUUUCUUAUGUGUUUUUCAGCGUUUGUUGCUUAUCAUGUCAGAGGAAAAUAUCUCGGAGCCCAAGCUGUUGAAUCUAUUCAUUUUUAAUGCCAAUUACGGCCAGAAGGAAGGCCAGGAACAUGAAAAAAUAUUGUUUUAUCAUCCCAUUUCUCAAAAUAUUGACACACAAGUUCGAAACAUAGGACUUGCAGAAGCCAUCACCCGCUUUUCAAGUAAUUUCAAGAAAGAUGGAGACUGUGACUGUGUUCACACAGAAGA